rnacentral:rRNA from 1 species
UACGUAGGUGGCAAGCGUUUGUCCGGAAUUAUUGGGCGUAAAGCGCGCGCAGGCGGUCUCCUAAGUCCGAUGUGAAAGCCCACGGCUCAACCGUGGAGGUCAUUGGAAACUGGGGGACUUGAGUGCAGGAGAGAAGAGUGGAAUUCCAGCGUGUAGCGGUGAAAUGCGUAGAGAUGUGGAGGAACACCAGUGGCGAAGGCGGACUCU